ACAUUCGUGGUGUAGUGGUCAGCACGCUCGACCCAUAACCGAGAAGUCCGUGGCUCGAUUCCCGGGGAGGGUA
rnacentral:tRNA from 1 species